rnacentral:misc_RNA from 1 species
AACAAAAAAAAGGGAGAAAUUCACCGACAAAAAACAGAUGAUUAGGAAUUUAGCCUAACAGCCAAUUACAUUAGAUCAGAACUACAACUUGAUAUGUCUAAAAACAAAAUUAACAACAAAACGAUUGUCAGCAAAUGCAAAUUAAACAAAGCGAUAAAACCAUCAAUCUGUAGCACGUAAAUGCCUAUAUACAUAAUCAAAUCUACAGAUGACUUGGAAAAAAGAUGAACCCAUUAUCCAAAAAUUAAAAAAAUUUAAACAUCCUAACCCAUAAUACUCUAAAAAAAGUAAGUGGGUUCCUUUCACAAAGGUAGGGGGACCUUGGGGACAUCGACGUUGGCUGG